rnacentral:miRNA from 1 species
UUCCAGAGUCUAAGGCUCCUUCCUGUGGUGGCAGCAGGGAGUAGAGCCAGAGGACCUGGGCACCUAGACAACCCACUG